rnacentral:rRNA from 1 species
AUGCGUAAGGGCCUAGCCUCCAUUGCUCUGUUGACACCAUGGAUGAUCAGGAAACAGUGCAACGAAUGCAUCUUUGAGGGCGCCCAGCCCCUGGUUCAGGUCCUGGUCUCGAAGAUCAAAGAGGAAGCCAAGCAGUGGGCAAGAGCGGGCGCCCACGGCCUACGCGUCAUUCUGCCGCCCACCUGGGACGUGCACUAA